AAAAUAAUUUUUGUAUGAUAAUGAAGAAAUCUCUCACACGUCGUUCUCUUGGAGAAAACUCGUACUUCGACCAAUUUUCCUAUAUAAUUUUGAAACAUAUGACACAAAAUCUCCAACCAGAUUAACUGUACAUUUUUGUCUUUAAUCGAUAUGAUACAAUUAUUUAUAUAACCAAAUACAAUUUACUGUGAAUUUAUGAACUCCGAAGUCAGUCACGACUACAAAAGGAAUAGUAAUUGUUUUUCUUAAGAAUAAUAAUUGAAUAUUGCUCUAUAAUUUUUUGUACGCGUUUAAUGAUAAUUAAAAUCCAUAGAUUUUUUUCCAGCCUGUCAUCUUCUGGGAAUUAUUAAGACAAGACCAAUUAGUUUCAUUAUGAAUUUUGUAAUAAUCUACGCAUUGCCGACUCAGAUUUAAUUGGAAAGUCGUUUUAGUCAGUUACGCUUUAACAUACCACCGACUUGAUUUCAGCAUUUCAAAAAGAAUAUAUACACAAAUUUAUUGAAUCGCCUCAGGUCCUAUUAUGAAGUAGUAGUAUAGGUAGUCUUAGUUUAAUUUCAGUGAUCUGUUCAUUUUAUUGACCAACGAACUUAAACAUAUACCACUGUAUUUAUUAGUAUUGACAUUUAUUGAUUGAAUGUACUCCUUCUGUUUUUUAAUAUAAGUCGUUUUAGAGAAAUUUUUUUGUUUUAAAUUAUAUGUCGUUUUCGGUUUUCUAUGUAAAAUUUAUUAAUAAUUAAUGUUGUACUACUAAUGAUAAUAUAUCUUCUAUUUUUCUAUUGGUUGAAUUGUAGUUAGGUAAAUAAUUAAUAAUAUUUUUAUUUAAAAAAUAUAAAAAAUUAAUGAUUUUUUAAUCUACGUAUAUAACUGUAAAAUGACUUAUAUUAAAAACAUAGGGAGUAGCAUAUAGUGUACAUAUUUAAUGUGGCAUAUCACAAGCUGUUGUAAAUUGUGCUUUUAUACAGUUGUCAUAUUAAAAAAAUAGUUUAUGAUUCUUUUGCUUUCUUCCUGAAGAUAGAUUUCUAAUCCAGAUUUAUAAAAGUGAUUUGUGCCAAAAUGUUCGUAAAUUCCAACAUAAUUUUUACGGUAUACCGUAUAUACUCUGAAUCGAUAUUUGUCUUAACCUUACUUGUUUUUGUCUUAAUUCCUUUUCCCGUAAUUAUCUCACUUAGACGCGUUUAUCAUACGUGGAGCAUGCUAUAUUAAGGAAAUUGGAUAAGAAUAACAAUUCAGAUUAAAAUGGUCUAAAAUAACACUAUGUGGACCGAAAGAUAUGGAAUAAAAUCGUUCACAAAAAAAAAAGGAAUAAAAUCAGGGACUAAACAUUAUAGCAAUAUGUAUACUGUUUCCUGGUAAAUUUAGUUUUUUUUUUUUUUUGUCGAAAUGGUAAAUUUAGUUUUGAUCAUGUUGUUUUAUUUUAAAAUUUUCAGCCGUGUGGACCACCUUGUAGACUGUGGAGGAAUAAUUUUAAAAUGUUUGCGGAUGUAGAAGGAGUUGAAUUUUUCUCCAGAAGAAGAGACUGCAAAGCGAAGAAGGAGCCACAUCAUUGGAUGAGGGCUCUUUGACGUCAUCACUCUCGCUUUCCACGGAUUUUAUGGGCCACGUGGACUCACCAUAAGCCGUUGAGAUGUGCGGCCAGGGAUUAUGUCAUACAACGCUCUCGCCUUCUUGUGUAAGCGUCAAUUUUCUUUUGUACUUUACCAUUUAUUUAUUUUCCUUCGCUAGGAUUAUGAUUUAUUUAUACAAAUAUCCUAAAAUAUAUUAUGAAUGUAUCGUUGUUCGGUUUAGAAAGUCUCACAUGUAUUGGUCCUGGGGAUUGGAGAACGUAAAUAAAGUAGUUUUUUUUUUUUUUUUUUCAACAAAAAAGACCAAACUAUACUAAGUAGAUUCCUGAGCCGAGAGCCAUCUCGGAGGAACGGAGUCAACAUAAACCAUAGCAGAAGGCUGAUUCCUAGCACCUCGUGCUAGCUUAUCCGCCAUUGUGUUUUAUGCCCUUGGAAUAUGCUGAAUAGUGAAGGUAGUAAAUAAAGUAGUUAAUGGAAUCGAUAUUACGAUUUUUAACAUAUUUACCUUAUCAAAAUGAGAACUCCGACAAAACAAUACAAAUAUUAGAUCUUUUUUUUGUCAACCCUAAUACUAAUUGAUCUAGCUUUAACAAAAAACUAGAUUUUUACCCGCGCUUUCAAAGCGCGGGAUUGUAUUGUUUGAAAUAUUUUAUUUUAUAAAAGUUAAAUUUUAUAACAUAUAUUUUUCUGAAAAAAUUACAUAUGAUAAGAUUUUUUUUGUAUAUGUGUAGUAGUUGUUUUAUAUGUUUAGGAUGAUAAUUCUAAAGAUAUAAAGGUAAUAUAAUAUAUAAUCUAAUGCUAAUUUAUAAUAUAUAUAUAUAUAUAAAUAAUAUAAUAUAUAUAUAUAAAUAUGAUAAUUGUAACAUGCAGGUGAAGGAAUAUUAGAUCUGAAAUAUUAUAAUAUAUACAAUAUGAUAAUUGUAAAUUUGACAUUUUAAUAUAAUAUCAAAGGCAAUGUAUAAUAUUUUGAUAAACUCAUAAUCUAAAAUAUUGAAAUAAUUAAGGCAAAGCCCAUAUAUUUAAAGAUAGUUUAAUAGAUAUUAACGAAACCCAACAAAUUUGCAAAUAGAAUGGGCCACCAAAAAAUGGUUCAUCUCAUUUGUAACCCAACAAAACUGAACAUAUAUCUUUGGUCUUUUAGACGGCUCAGAUUUAAAAAAAAAACAGUAAAGGCAAGAAAAAAAAAGACAGACAUAUAGAACGGUCUCUUAAUCGACAAAGGAUGAGAUGAAGAGAAAUCGUUGUCGAUGUUGAAAAUCGAAGCUGUACGACUCAGAUUUGGUAAAGACGAUAUCAGAAACUCGUAAUUUUAAGGUGAAGGAAUAUUAGAUCUGAAAUAUUAUUAAAGAGAACAGACGAACACCAUCACUUUUCACCUCUUGGAGAUGUCGAACAUCUGAAGAAACCAGGAACAUAAGAUAUCGUUUACCGCUUUGAGAGGGACAACACGAUAAAUCUAAGCCUGAAAGAAGCUCAGACUAAAACGCUAGCGCUUUGACCAAAUCUGUUAUAGACUAUUUAUAUUUAUCUUCUUAUACGCCUGUUCUGUUUUAUUUUAAUGUGUUUAACUCUUUUAUUUGACAUAUAUCAUGUAGAAAAUAGUAUGCUGAGGAAGGAGAUGAGGACAAAACCUUAAAUUCAUGUGCAGAUCUUUCAGUGGCUUCUUAGUGCCAGAAUUCACAUAAAAGACAUUGGACUCAGACAUAAGCAAGGCAUUAAUAAGUUCCAGAUAAGUAUUGAUUUAAUUUAGUAAAGAUAUUCAUAAAAGAUAGUGGGAAAGUAUAGAUUAUAUUGAGUUGUAUUAUUAAUGAAUACAGUGCAUGUGCAGGUCUUGCAAUAUAAUCGUUUGAGCCAUUAUUCAGUUGGAAACAGGUCUAACAUGGAAAUUCCAGAUUUUGCGCCAGAAGCCUCCCUUUACUCUCAAUGGCAUAAGGUUUGCCAGAAAAAAAAGAAGAUGAUUUUGGUGGGGUUUCAAUGGUAUAGGGUGUUUCAUCAUGAAGAUAAUUUUGAUGGGCUGAAUAUUCAUUCAUGUUUGGAUUUAAAAAAAAAGCCUAAACUUAAUCAUAGAUGGGCCUAAAAACGAUUUGAAUAUGUUUAAAAAAUCGAAGGCUUGCGAUUGGUUUAAAAUAACUGGCGACAUUUAAAUUUUUAAAAGGAAAAAAAGGCAAUGGCAGAGACUUGUAAAUAACUUGAAAAGGCAGGGGUAGAAUCCUAGUAGGUAUUCUGCUUUAAUAGUAUAGACUAGAUUUUGACCCGCGCAGGCGCGCAGGUGUAUAUUUUGAAAAAUAUGUUGAUAUUUGUUUUUCAUGUAAUUAUUAGAAUUUGGAAAAAUGAAUCCGAGGAACAUAACCGAUACCGAUCCAAAGAUAUAGUACCAAACCCAAACAUAAAUUGAUUAAAUAUUCUAAUUAUUCAAAAUUUUGUUAUUUAGAGAACCGAAGUAUUUGGGUAUCCGAAUUUAUCUAAAAAUAGAUUUAUAUACUUAUAUAUAUUAAUUAUUUUUUGAUUUAACGUAUAUAAAACAUCAAAAAUGAUACUUUUAAAUUGGUUUAAAUACUUGAAAAUAUAUAUAGAUAGUCAAAAGUAAAUAUCUAUUUGGAUAUAUACCAUAUAUAUAGAUAAUGAUCUAGUUUAGUUAAUGGUUUUCUAAUUUCUUAAUUUAAAAAGUAUGCUACUGUAUGCACAUCUCACCGGUGAAAAUAGUGGUAUCAUUUUUGGAACACAUAUAGCCAUGUUCUUUUCAUUAACGCACGACCAGCGGCUGCGACACCAAUUCUAAAGAGAAAGAGGGAAGAAAAUUGAACAGAAUCAGAUUUUAAACGCAGAUGAGAGAGAAUGAAUGUUAAUGGUCGCUGUUAUUUUUAGCGUCAACGGAAUUUACCGAAUCCGUGUAGUGUAGUUUUUGAUCGCUGCAUCUCUCCUUCUCUCUCCGAGCAACCAUUAAAAUAAAAACAAUGAAAAAAUUUCACCUGCUGGUCGCAACCGCAACGAACAGGGCUAUAUUAAUAUUGUGAAUAUGCUCCUAUAUAUAUAGUUGGUUUAAUGUGAAUAUUCGCACAUGUAAGUGUGUAACAUAACAAUGACAAGAUGAUGAUGGAUAUGAUGUCAUUCAACAUGCUCAAAGUCGUGGCCACCACCACUAAUUCUUCUGUGUGUGUAUAGAUAUAUAAUUUAUGGGUAAAUUGGAAAGCUUAGAAGCUAAGAGCAUUAUUAUAUGGACUUUUGGAUCAAACUGAUGACCUUAUAAAUAUUAGCUCGAUAGUUGAAAUAAAAUAUAAACCUAAAUUGUUUGUUUCGUAGUUUGAGACAGACCACAAAUGUAUGUUGCAGGUACAAGAAGUUAGGAUUGAUGUUAUUGUUAUUGUUAUUGUUGGUAGGAAUCUAAUUUAUUGAUAUGUGUAUAAUGUAGACACUCCUUUUAUAAAUGGAACAAAUAUAUAUGUUUGAUAUAUAAUAUACGUUUAUUUUGGAUUUGGCAGAUCAUUAUGUAUAUAUAUAUAUAUAUAUGUUAUUUGCUUGUUUAUUAUUUACGUGAUAUUGUUAUAAUGUAACUAAAGUAGUUGAUUUAUUUCGAUCGACUGUAUACUGAAUUUUGUAUUAAAUUAUUUGCAGACUUGUAUAUUAACCGUUUGAUAGGAUAAAAAGAGAAAUGGACCAAAAACAACUAGCAAGUCAGAUGUAUAAUAUUGUAGUUCUUGUCCAAAAAAUAAAAAUAAUAUUGUAGUUCUAUAUUUUGUUUUAUUAAUUUUCGUAUUGACAAUGAAUCAGAGACGAAACCAAGAAACGCUCAGAGCUCAAACAACGGAGAAGAAUGAAAGCAGAAAAGAAGUAUACGAAGAAGAUAGUAAUGCCAAUAGAAAUAGAAAAUGAGAGAGCCAAAGUAAUGAGAAAAUGACUUGUUACUGUGAGAAGAAGCUAUAAGGUAUCAUAUAGUGAAGAUUACAAGAUAACAAAAAA